UAAGAGCUGUUGGUGCAGUAUAGUGUUCACCAUAUUGUACUCUUAGCAUGCUAUUUAGUUUUGUUUCUUUUAGUAAAUAAAGUUUAUUAUAUUUAAUUUUACUAUGUUAUUAUUUUAAUUUAAGAUCCCCUGAGCCUUGUCUGAUCUCUCAUGCAGACCCUUGAGCCAAGUAAUAAGUGGAAACUCUUCAUCAGUAUCGUGAAAGACCGAACUCAUACAAUCUCAAUAUCUCUGCCAUCUUUUUUGAGUACCAAUUUCCUCUACAAGUUGAACUUAACCUCAUCUUGAUCCAAAUGAAUGAGUUCUCUUCGUCUUUGAUUUUCUUUCCAUUUGAACACCGCCCGCUCUAGAGGCAUCUACUGUUUACAGCAUUCUUCUAUUGCUUCUUCGUGAUUCUACAAAUUAUAAAAUUAGAAUACACGCUGCUGUUGCAUUGGCUGUACCAUCAUCAAGGCUUGGCCAGGUCUUCAAAGUAUCAUCACUUCAGUGAAAAUUAAAUUAUAUAUUGUUAUGUCAGAUUUUUAAUGAUGCGUCUUUUUAACUUUUUAUCACUUCUGUUCUGGAUUUUCUACUUUCCAACCAUCUUCACCAUGUUUCAAACUGCCAAAGGAUAUUGUAUGAACUAAAAGCCAUCUGUGGAACAAACAACAUUAAGUUGCUACUGUGAAAUCCAACUAGCCUUUUGAUGUGGUCAUAAAUUUUAAAUUCAUUG